ACACCCUCCUAGGGACUGUUUUCUUUUUGGGGUUGGUUGCUGUUAUUGCUAGACCUUCCUGGCUACAAAAGUCCUGUUCCCCCUUAGAUUGCAGCUAACAGGGUUACUAUUUCCUGUUACAAAGAUAUUGUCUAAUUUAGGGAAACAUAGUGUGAUCCAAAAAUCUUCAUAUCCAGUUUUGUAAAAUAGAAAACAGAAGGAAACCUACUGGAUGAAAUCAGCAGGAUAAAUCAAUUAUAACUCAGAUCAGUGGGAAUUAGAUUUAAUUCCCUCUCAUGGUAAACAUGGAAAGAAUCAAUAUAAUUUGAAUAGUAUUUUAUAAUGGCUGAGAAUCUUGCAAUAGGGUAAUGAAAUUAGAUUUUUUUUUAAAGCUGAGCAAUAACAGAACUGUUAAAAUUAGAUCCUGAAACUAAACCAGAGAUAAAAAGAUAAACUUUCAAAAUUAACUUCUAUUAAAUGAGAGAGAGAUGGGAUUAGGCAGGACCCCCUGAAUACCCAUGUAAAGCUAAAAAUCCAAAAAGUUCAACAUUAAGAAAUUGGGGUAAAUAUGUUUGUAAUAGGAAAUCUUUGUAGAAGCCAGUUAUUCAGUGCGGGAGGAUCCCACUAAUAGGUUUCAGGUAAGAUUAGCAAAAUGUUAAGAGUUUAUUUUUAGCACAGACUGGCUUCCUGCAAAAAGGAAGCAGGCAAGAGAUCUGCUGGUAGGGCAACUAGAACAGCUCUUACAGCCAGACCAACUAGGGCAGAUGAACCUCCGCAAAGAAUAAAAUAAUAUACUGCUAUAUCCAGCCUCAGUUAGUAGUUUGCUAAGUUCCAUAGGGCUUUUGUCCUUGAAAGUAAUACCACUGAUUAAAUAGAGUAAAAGAAGAAUGAGUACAGUAUUAAAUCAAAGUAAAUAUUAGAUCUGAUCAAAUUCUUUGUUGUGGAUUAUGUUACAAAUUUAGCCUUUUUUUCGCAAUGAAAAUCAUUUGUACAUUAAUCUAAAUGUUUGAGAAUGUACUGAUUAUUUGUAGGUACUCACCAAAUAGCUUGUCCCAACAAAAUAAUUGUUGUUAGUGGUGUGAUUGGUUACCUACAUCUAAUAUUGCAUCUACUCUCAAGUUGGAAUCUGAAAGGUUUAAACAAGUGAAUGACAGACAAGUAAAAGGCUUGUUGGGAAUUGGCCUUGAUAUAGGCCAAGACAUUAGGGUCCUGGACUACUAUAAUUCAUUAUGUCAUAUGGGGAUUCUCCCAUGCCAGAUGACUGAUAUAACCUCUCUCCAGGCUGCAAUCUCUUCUAUGCCAUUGCCUGCCAUUCUGCUGUUCAGGAUCUCAGAUUCGUAUACUACAAAGAAAGCAGCACAUAACUUGGCUAGAACAUUAUUCAUUAAAAGUCAGUAUUGUAGUCAUUUAAGGACUCAUCCAAAUGCAGAAAUUGAUUUUAAUGAGCUGUGGAUAAGGCCCUCACUUUUGGCCAAGAAAAGUAAUGUGAUGUGUAACUCUGAUCUGAACGGAGUCAUGGAGGUCCUUGGAAGUCACUGGACACACUUUUUUAAAAUAAAAUAAAUCUUAUGUACUUCUGGGUGACAGAAUCUGUCCCUCUAAAAAAUUUAUUUGUAGCAGUGUGCUAAGAUAUUGCAGUAACCUGAAUGCUGAAAUAUAUACAGAGAAAUGACUAAAGUGGACAUGAAAAUACUAACGAUGUAAAAGAGACUUUGGGAAGGAGGAGAAAGGAAAUAGCUGUCUAUUGAGUAUACUUAAUCUUUCAUAUUCUAAUUAUGCAUUCAUUUUUCACUCAACUGUUCCAUUGAUGCUGAUGUAAAAGAUUCAGGAGAAGGCCCUUAAACACUUGCAGAAGAAAAGUGGACCUAAAUCAGUCAGGCUAAAAAUGUAUCAGUUGUUCACCACAGUAUGAGUAUGAUAUAGGCUUGUAUGUGAUAAACAAGGGAAAUGUGUUAGACAGAUGCUCUCUGGGUAUUUGAACACUUUGAUCAUAUUAUCUUGUAUUGUCUUCCUUCUAUGUAUUGAAUCUCUGAUCUCUUGUCUAUCUUGUAUGUAUUGCUGUACUCAAAACAGUUUAAAAAUCACCAUCAUAAACAAAAAGUUAAAAAGAAAAAGGUAAAUACUCUUGCUUUUUUUUUUUUUUAAGGUAGUCAUAACAAAGUAGUAAAAAACCCCUAAUAUCUUGACAUUUGCUGCAAUUUAUCACAACCUCUUCUAACUGAAGCAAGCUUUCUAUAACAAUACAAUAAAAAAUAAAAAUGCCAAAUGUUUUGAAUAUAACAAUUUAAGGUUGGAAAAUGAAAACCAGCCAACCAGACAGUUAACAUUUGUGCACUUGGACUAUUAAAUCUAAUAAAUAAUAAUGGCUGUUGUAGCACAUAGUGUAUUACUUUGCAUCUGGCAAGAUGCUAUGGAAUAAAAUCCAAAUUAAACAGUCCUGGAAAAAAAGAAAUAUGCAAUUAACUACCAGCUUUUUCUGCUAUCUAAGACCUAAUUGCUAAAUACAGUUGUACAUUCUCCAUAAAGUUUUCAUGUCUGUAACAGCAAGGUACAAGUAAUCAACUGAAUGCUUGUACAGUAAUACAACCAUGACUUAGUGGACUUAAGCAUUCAAAUGGUAAGCAGUGAGGAUACGGUCUACUGCUUCCUAAAAUAAUUAAGAAAGUAUUAAUUAAUUUACCCACAUAAACACUUCUUCCUAAGCCCUACUUUUCCAGAAGGCACAAAAUGGAGAACACUACUGUAUCAAGUUAACAUUGUCUGUUCAACAGGAAACCAGAAUCUUAAGUUGCUAAUUAAAAAUAUGCUUAUUUUGAAAACAAGUAUUGAUACAUGAUGCAAGAGGGUAGUGGUAGGGAGGAGAACCAGAACAAAGUUAUAGCUAUUAUAACUAUAUCAAAAUAUUCAUAAUUAAAUAGGAUCUUGUAUGAGCAGAUGUUGCAGGAGGUAUCCCAAAAGCAGAGGAACAUGAUUGAAUACAAGUCAAGUAAAAUGCAGAAUUGACCUUUAGUAAUUCAUGUGUGUUCUUGCAUGCAUGUUCCAAACUAUGUUUUAGUAGACAUGAGAUUUAUAGAAGACUUCCUUCCUUUCUCACGUCCUUAUGACAAGGCACUUAGCAAAAUUUGCAGUUUCUUUGGAAUCUGACAUGGCUGCACUGUGAACACUUCUGUGAUGGCCUCAAAGAUUUACUGCUGAUUCCGUUAGUGGUUCAGGAUUUAAACAAACAAAAAAUGCUGCAUCACUGCUGCUGUCAUUUCUAUUACUUAGUAGAUUUUAUGCCUUCCUAUUAUGGUUAUCAAUGCAAUGUGACUUUCAAAUGCACUCUGCUGGGUACUUAUUUUGCUGUUGUGUAUAUGAGUUCAUACACGAGUGCAAUGUUUGAUGCCUUUGGAACAAAACUAUGUUUUUGCACUAGAUUUUGAUCUCUAGCAGUGAAGCACUCGGUACAGUUGCCUUGGAAGGAGGCAGUGUUGGCUGACCACUUCAGUGCCAUUCUGCUUUGUGUUGGAAGAAACAGCACUGAAGUGUUUCAAUGAUCAGCUAUUUGCCAGACAUGCCUUUAUGGUGUAUCCAUGGAUAGAUGGGGAAGAAUAAGCUUUUUGGCCUUCUGGAGUUUCUCCAUAGGAACCUGGAAUCCUCUGGAAGUCAGUAAAACUUUGUUUGGUGACAUCUUUGUACUAAAAGUAGCUCUAUUAAAGGUUAUGGAUUUGCCCCUUUGGAUGAACUAAGUAUAAAACCAAUAGGACUAACAACAUGAACAAAGUUACUUUUGGAGGAUCAUAGCUUAAUUCUUUACUAAACUUAGCCCAGAACCAUAGAUACAGCUGAGUCUGUCUUACCUUGGCCAUGGAUGAUGUAAAGACAGUUAUAAUACUUUAGAUUGGAACAUGCAGUAGGCCCAAAGGCAAAAUAUAACUUGUGUUUUCAACGUCAUUAGGUAUCUACUGUCUGUUACCUGUU